UUGGUGUGAAUGAUACCGAAAUCAUCCUCCAGGUAGACCUCUAUCAGCAACAGGGGCAGCAGUAAAAACUCCUCCACUUUGCCUCAUCAAUAUGCCUGUACCCUGACCUGGAGAAAAUACUUUUAGAGAUGAUAGGAGUAGCUCCAUUUUCUACACCAUUCAGUCCGCGGCCUUU
rnacentral:sRNA from 1 species